rnacentral:rRNA from 1 species
AGAGUUUUAUCCUGGCUCAGAUUGAACGCUGGCGGCAGGCCUAACACAUGCAAGUCGAGCGGUAGAGAGAAGCUUGCUUCUCUUGAGAGCGGCGGACGGGUGAGUAAUGCCUAGGAAUCUGCCUGGUAGUGGGGGAUAACGUUCGGAAACGGACGCUAAUACCGCAUACGUCCUACGGGAGAAAGCAGGGGACCUUCGGGCCUUGCGCUAUCAGAUGAGCCUAGGUCGGAUUAGCUAGUUGGUGAGGUAAUGGCUCACCAAGGCGACGAUCCGUAACUGGUCUGAGAGGAUGAUCAGUCACACUGGAACUGAGACACGGUCCAGACUCCUACGGGAGGCAGCAGUGGGGAAUAUUGGACAAUGGGCGAAAGCCUGAUCCAGCCAUGCCGCGUGUGUGAAGAAGGUCUUCGGAUUGUAAAGCACUUUAAGUUGGGAGGAAGGGUUGUAGAUUAAUACUCUGCAAUUUUGACGUUACCGACAGAAUAAGCACCGGCUACCUCGGUCCCCAGCGCGGAAUACAAGGGUGCAGCGUAAUCGGA